GGGGGUGAUGUGGUCUCGACUUAAGAUGUUUAUGCUUUAGGUGGCAUGCCGAGGAUGUCAGGUUGGCCUCGUUAAAUACCCUGGCACACAAUAAACGGCGAUAAUUACGACGCUGUAGCUGAAGCAGAAGCAAUUCUUGCUGAAGCGACACCAGUCUUAGUUUAAGAAUAAACUAAGCCCUAAUAUAAAUCAUUCCUAUGGAUUUAUAAAAGGACCUUUAUAGGAUAGCCUAUCCCAGGCCUAGGGGGAUGUGGCGAAACCAAUAGGCUGGCUUCAGUCUAUCCUGUUCAUUGGAGCGGCUGAAGUAAGACUAAAAAAUGAUCUAAGCAUGUAGAGGCUUAAGGCAGGCUCGCUAAGGACCCGGGUUCGAUUCCCGGCACCUCCACCA
rnacentral:tmRNA from 1 species